GCCUGGCUAGUUUUCUUUGUGGUACAGCCUGAAGGCAAGAAAAACCAGAAGGCUUCAGGGUCCCAAGGCAGAAUUAGUGAAGAUACAAUUCCCCUAGGUUGACGACAUAAGAGCAGAGAUUCAAUCUGCCUACAAAAAUGACCUGAAGGGACACCCAGACCCUGAUUCAGAAACAGGAGCCUAAUGUGAAGAAUAGGAAUAGUCUUCUGGACCUUAAUGGGUAUGAAACGAUUGAUCUGGGCACCUCAUCAGGCCCAGUAUUGCCAUUGAUUACCCUGAGGUUUUCAACAAGCUGGCAGCUCAUGAUUCCUCCAGAGGAUGAGAACAGACAAAAAUAAGCUUGGAGCAUUGGUGCAGUGCAGUAAGCUUGCAUCUGCUUUCAAAAACCAUAUAGCGGCUCUUCCAUCUACUGUCUUUUUCAAGUUUUGAUCAAGAAGCCAGCAUUUUUCUUACUAAGAAGUCCUGCUGCAGAAGCUCUAUCACCUUGGAGAAUGCUCAUUCCACGACACUGGAGGACAGCCCCAAUGGAGAAAUGACUUAGUAAGUAACAUGGAAGAGACCAGAUGAGGAGUUGGAAACAUGCAGGAUGGCCUUAAAUGUAAGUGUGAAUAAAAGCAUUAAUUAGAGGAUGAUGUGAAUACUGCCUGUUCUUUAAUGCAGUGUAUUGGUCUGUCCUAAUGCCACCAUUCAAUCUGGUUCCAAUUCAGUAUUUCUCGUGAUGGAAGGUCAUUAUGCAG